AAUUUGUUCGAACGGUGGAACAUGUGGUUUAAUGCGAUAAUCCACGUAAAAUCUUACCAAUAUUUAUAAUUAAAGGGUAUUAAAAAAAUAGAAUUUUAUUAAUUGUCUUUAAUUUCGGUGUUGCAUGGCUGUCGUCAGUUCGUGUUGUGAAAUGUAAAAUUAAGUUUUAUUUACGAACGCAACCUAUAAUAUAUUGUAAUUUUAAUGUAUAUUUUAAAUAUAUAUUAGAUUUUAAUAUAUUUAUUUUUUUUUAAAUAGGUUUUAGCUGAAGUCAAGUCCUUAUGGCCUUUAUAUAUUGGGCUACACACGUGUUACAAUGGCAAAAACAAAAAGAAACAAUUAUGUGAAUAAGAGUAAAUCUUAAAAAAUUGCCGUAGUUUGGAUUAUUUUAUGUAACUCUAAAAUAUGAAAAUGAAAUCGUUAGUAAUUAUAAGUUAGUAUAUUAUAAUGAAUUAUAAGUCAAAUUUUGCACACACUGCCCAUCACGCUCGAAAAAUUUUGUAAAGUUGAAAAUAAAAUAUAAUUAAAAUUAGGUUUAAUUUUAAAGUUAUGUUUGUUGUAGCUUUAUUAAGUGAUUU
rnacentral:rRNA from 1 species